rnacentral:rRNA from 1 species
UACAGAGGGUGCAAGCGUUAAUCGGAAUUACUGGGCGUAAAGCGCACGUAGGCGGUUUUUUAAGUCAGAUGUGAAAGCCCCGGGCUCAACCUGGGAACUGCAUUUGUGACUGCAAGGCUAGAGUACGGCAGAGGGGGAUGGAAUUCCGCGUGUAGCAGUGAAAUGCGUAGAUAUGCGGAGGAACACCGAUGGCGAAGGCAAUCCCCUGGACCUGUACUGACGCUCAUGCACGAAAGCGUGGGGAGCAAACAGG